AACGCUAGCUACAGGCUUAACACAUGCAAGUCGAGGGGCAGCACAAGGCAGCAAUGCUGAGGUGGCGACCGGCGCACGGGUGCGUAACGCGUAUCCAACCUUCCCGUUACUCAUGGAUAGCCUUCCGAAUGGGAGAUUAAUACAUGAUGGUGUUGAAAUUCCGCAUGUUAUUUCAACUAAAGAUUUAUCGGUAACGGAUGGGGAUGCGUGACAUUAGAUAGAUGGCGGGGUAACGGCCCACCAUGUCUACGAUGUCUAGGGGUUCCGAGAGGAAGGUCCCCCACACUGGAACUGAGACACGGUCCAGACUCCUACGGGAGGCAGCAGUGAGGAAUAUUGGUCAAUGGCCGGAAGGCUGAACCAGCCAAGUAGCGUGAAGGAUGAAGGUUCUAUGGAUUGUAAACUUCUUUUAUACGGGAAUAAAACCUCCCACGUGUGGGAGCUUGUAUGUACCGUAUGAAUAAGCAUCGGCUAACUCCGUGCCAGCAGCCGCGGUAAUACGGAGGAUGCGAGCGUUAUCCGGAUUUAUUGGGUUUAAAGGGAGCGUAGACGGGAGAUUAAGUCAGCUGUGAAAGUUUGAGGCCCAACCUUAAAAUUGCAGUUGAUACUGGUUUCCUUGAGUGCGGUAUAGGUAGGCGGAAUUCGUGGUGUAGCGGUGAAAUGCUUAGAUAUCACGAAGAACUCCGAUUG
rnacentral:rRNA from 1 species